GACGAACGCUGGCGGCGUGCUUAACACAUGCAAGUCGAACGGAAAGGCCCUGCUUUUGUGGAGUGCUCGAGUGGCGAACGGGUGAGUAACACGUGAGUAACCUGCCCUUGACUUUGGGAUAACUUCAGGAAACUGGGGCCAAUACCGGAUAGGAGCUCCUGCUGCAUGGUGGGGGGUGGAAAGUUUCGGCGGUUGGGGAUGGACUCGCGGCGUAUCAGCUUGUUGGUGGGGUAUUGGCUUACCAAGGCUUUGACGGGUAGCCGGCCUGAGAGGGUGACCGGCGACAUUGGGACUGAGAUACGGCCCAGACGCCUGCGGGAGGCAGCGGUGGGGAUUAUUGCACAAUGGGCGGAAGCCUGAUGCAGCAACGCCGCGUGCGGGAUGACGGCCUUCGGGUUGUAAAGCGCUUUAGACUGUGACGAAGCGUGAGUGACGGUAAUGGGUAAAGAAGCACCGGCUAACUACGUG
rnacentral:rRNA from 1 species